rnacentral:lncRNA from 7 species
AAAUACCCCAGGACAUGUGCUUGAGGAAGCCUUCCUGCAGGGGAAGAAGUUAGCUUGAGGCCAGCGUGUGGUCAGAAAUCAGCAGAAGGGUCUGACUGCAGCCUUAAAGGGGAUUUCUGCUUUGCAAGAUCUCUCUCUGAAACCCUUCUCUGAAGUUUGUUUCACACAAGAACUCCCUGCUCAAUGCUGCUGCCUGCUCACAGGGACACACAGGGACCACAGAAAGCAGAGGAUAAGGGAUAAGGCACAAGCUCAGCUUGCUGGAAACUUCAGACAUACCCCAAGUGAAUCCCACUCCAAGUUCUUCAGAACUUGAAAUAUUAAUGGAAGAAGGAGGUUAUUUUGCACGCCUCUUGCCCAAGCCACCGCCAGAGCCACAGUGUCACCUCACACAUGCUGCAGUGUUGCUCUGGAUUUAAGUGAUGAUGGAAUUAGAGUCCAUCUCCACGACAUCCCCAUCUGCUGCUGGUUUGGUGACCUACAUGAGAGAUGAAGAGAUGUGCUGGGCUCUGUCCAGCUCCCAGAGCAGUUGGGUUUUGCAAAGGUGAAACAGAAGACAGAAGUACGAUUUGUGCAGGAUGCUGAUUGCCACACACCUGAAUACAGGUGCAGCACUGUGAACUUGGUGAUACCUGUGUGUCUCUGGCUUCCAUACCUCCCAGGUGUGUUUUCCUUCCUUGCAACCCCACCCUACGUAUCUUAAACCAGAUGGGAAGUUUACUCUUCCCAAUCUAGUGCUAUCUCUGCAUGUAAAUGAAGAAAUUUCAGCUUAAAACCUGUCAAGCCAACACCUUCCCCCAGGAUUCAAUUGACUUUGAAAGCGUACACUUCAAAAAAAAAAUACACCAAACAGGCAAAAAUCCCAAAAGGAAAAGAAUUAAUAACCACAGUGUUUUCUAAUAUGCACACUAAACAACUCCUUAA